rfam:Rhodospirillales bacterium 69-11 SCNpilot_cont_750_bf_scaffold_441, whole genome shotgun sequence.
GCGGCACAGCCGAGUAGCUAAGUGCGGACGGGAUAACCGCUGAAAGCAUCUAAGCGGGAAACCCACCUCAAAACGAGGUCUCCCCGAGGGCCGUGAUAGACCAUCACGUCGAUAGGCCGGGUGUGGACGCGCGGUAACGUGCGAAGCUGACCGGUACUAAUCGCCCAAUCGGCUCGAAACC